rnacentral:pre_miRNA from 1 species
CUGUUGUCUGUAUUUAUAUCCCUGAGACCAUUGACUGCAUUUGUUUGAGGUUUCAAUGUAGUUUUUGGUAUCAGGAUUGUGGAUAUGGAGCAUUC